UAAAUCUUUAGUUUUCUACAAUAGACAUCUACCUAAAAAUGUGUAGGAGUCCUAUGAAAGUUCUAACAGGAACUUUUUUUUUUCGAUCUAACAAUUGCUUACACUUAGGUACCAUCUAAUUUUUGUGCUUACAAAUACUUAAAUCAGCACCACUUUUGUAUGUCACCGUAGAUACCACUAAACAACUAGUUCAUACAUAUUUAACACAAACAUUACUCAAAAAACUAUUGUGGUUUUCGUGGUAUACUUGAUGCAAACAAUAAAAAAUAUGCACUUUCAUUGUUUGUGGAAAUGAAAUAGUUUCAUCUUCAUGUUUGAGUUCUUUGAAAAUAUCUAUUUCAUUUAAUAUAUUUCGGGUUACCAAUCAUUGCUUGAAAUUAUGUGUUUACAAAUUUACAACCAUGGUGUCUAUAUAGAUAGACAACUAAAGCCAAGGGGUCAACCACCGUCACGUUUAAUUUUCUAUUAGAACACAGUUUAAACAUUUUUAAGCAGCUAUUAAUAAAAUGGAUUUUCUAAACUGUGAGAGAAUAUAUAUUAAUGCAAAUAUAUAUAAAACUAGUAUUAAGCCCCUGCGUUGCAGCGGUUGUCAUAAAACUGUGUUAAAUAGUAGCAAUACAAUACCAUUGUCAACGACCAACAACACCGGAUAAGUUCGUAAAAAUAAAAUAAAUAAAAACGGGUAAAAAAUAACAUCGAGCGAAAAGCAGACGUAAAAUCUCUGGAUUACGCACGCUCGUUGCUGAGAAAUUAAACCGAAAUGUAAAACAUAGAAAAAAAUAACUAAGUCCAUCCAGGACCCGCGUGUUGGACGAACUUGUCAAAUGCAGAAAAAUAGAUGUGACGCGACGGGCCAGUCAAACAGGAAAAAAAAUAUACGAAAAAAUGUUGAACCCCACACACACAUUGCGGUGCGUUAACUUACAAAAUUUAGAACGAAACGAAAAACUUGGGAAAUAUGAAAAGUAUGGUGGACCAAAAUUGAAAAUAAAAAAGGGUUGGGAUUA
rnacentral:lncRNA from 1 species